AGUGAACGCUGGCGGUAGGCCUAACACAUGCCAGUCGAACGGCAGCACAGUAAGAGCUUGCUCUUACGGGUGGCGAGUGGCGGACGGGUGAGGAAUACAUCGGAAUCUACUUUUUCGUGGGGGAUAACGUAGGGAAACUUACGCUAAUACCGCAUACGACCUACGGGUGAAAGCAGGGGAUCUUCGGACUUUGCGCGAUUGAAUGAGCCGAUGUCGGAUUAGCUAGUUGGCGGGGUAAAGGCCCACCAAGGCGACGAUCCGUAGCUGGUCUGAGAGGAUGAUCAGCCACACUGGAACUGAGACACGGUCCAGACUCCUACGGGAGGCAGCAGUGGGGAAUAUUGGACAAUGGGCGCAAGCCUGAUCCAGCCAUACCGCGUGGGUGAAGAAGGCCUUCGUGUUGUAAAGCCCUUUUGUUGGGAAAGAAAAGCAGCAGGUUAAUACCCCGCUGUUCUGACGGUACCCAAAGAAUAAGCACCGGCUAACUUCGUG
rnacentral:rRNA from 1 species